rnacentral:rRNA from 1 species
AGCAGCCGCGGUAAUUCCAGCUCCAAUAGCGUAUAUUAAAGUUGUUGCAGUUAAAAAGCUCGUAGUUGAAUUUCGGGAUUUGCACAUCGGUCGUGCCUUAAGGGGUAUGAACUGGUGUAGUGAAUUUCUCACCUUCUGGAGAACCGUGAUGUCCUUAAUUGGGUGCCACGAGGAACCAGGACCUUUACUUUGAAAAAAUUAGAGUGUUUAAAGCAGGCAUUUUUGCUUGAAUACAUUAGCAUGGAAUAAUAAAAUAGGACGGCAUGAUUCUAUUUUGUUGGUUUCUAGGAUCACCGUAAUGAUUAAUAGGGAUAGUUGGGGGCAUUAGUAUUCAAUUGUCAGAGGUGAAAUUCUUGGAUUUAUUGAAGACUAACUACUGCGAAAGCAUUUGCCAAGGAUGUUUUCAUUAAUCAAGAACGAAAGUUAGGGGAUCGAAGACGAUCAGAUACCGUCGUAGUCUUAACCAUAAACUAUGCCGACUAGGAAUCAGACGAUGUUAAUUUUUUAAUGACUCGUUUGGCAUCUUACG